GUACACUCCUACGGGAGGCAGCAGUGGGGAAUUUUGGACAAUGGGCGAAAGCCUGAUCCAGCAAUGCCGCGUGAGUGAAGAAGGCCUUCGGGUUGUAAAGCUCUUUUGUCAGGGAAGAAACGGUGAAAGCUAAUAUCUUUUGCUAAUGACGGUACCUGAAGAAUAAGCACCGGCUAACUACGUGCCAGCAGCCGCGGUAAUACGUAGGGUGCAAGCGUUAAUCGGAAUUACUGGGCGUAAAGCGUGCGCAGGCGGUUUUGUAAGUCUGAUGUGAAAUCCCCGGGCUCAACCUGGGAAUUGCAUUGGAGACUGCAAGGCUAGAAUCUGGCAGAGGGGGGUAGAAUUCCACGUGUAGCAGUGAAAUGCGUAGAUAUGUGGAGGAACACCGAUGGCGAAGGCAGCCCCCUGGGUCAAGAUUGACGCUCAUGCACGAAAGCGUGGGGAGCAAACAGGAUUAGAAACCCCAGUAGUCCC
rnacentral:rRNA from 1 species